UACGGGGGGCAGCAGUCGCGAACCUUUGCAAUACACGCAAGUGUGACAGGUCAUCCCGAGUGCCGACCGCUGAGGUUGGCUUUUACCCAGUCUAGAAAGCUGGGGGAAUAAGGAGAGGGCAAGUCUGGUGUCAGCCGCCGCGGUAAUACCAGCUCUCCGAGUGGUGUGGACGUUUAUUGGGCCUAAAGCAUCCGUAGCUGGCUGAACAAGUCCCCUGUUAAACCCACCGAUUUAAUCGUUGGCUUGCGGGGGAAACUGCUCGGCUAGGGGACGAGAGAGGCAGACGGUAUUCCCGGGGUAGGGGUGAAAUCCUAUAAUCCCGGGAAGACCACCAGUGGCGAAGGCUGUCUGCUAGAACGCGCCCGACGGUGAGGGAUGAAAGCUGGGGGAGCGAACCGGAUUAGAUACCCGGGUAGUCCCAGCUGUAAACGAUGCAGGCUAGGUGUUUGGACGCCACGUGCCGUUCUAGUGC
rnacentral:rRNA from 1 species